CUACGUGCCAGCAGCCGCGGUAAUACGGAGGGUGCGAGCGUUAAUCGGAAUAACUGGGCGUAAAGGGCACGCAGGCGGCUAUUUAAGUGAGGUGUGAAAUCCCCGGGCUCAACCUGGGAACUGCGUUCUGAACUGGGUGACUAGAGUGUGUCAGAGGGAGGUAGAAUUCCACGUGUAGCAGUGAAAUGCGUAGAGAUGUGGAGGAAUACCGAUGGCGAAGGCAGCCUCCUGGGAUAACACUGACGUUCAUGCUCGAAAGCGUGGGUAGCAAACAGGAUUAGAUACCCUGGUAGUCCACGCCCUAAACGAUGUCAAUUAGCUGUUGGGCAACUUGAUUGUUCAGUAGCGUAGCUAACGCGUGAAAUUGACCGCCUGGGGAGUACGGUCGCAAGAUUAAAACUCAAAGGAAUUGACGGGGACCCGCACAAGCGGUGGAUGAUGUGGAUUGAUUCGAUGCAACGCGAAGAACCUUACCUGGUCUUGACAU
rnacentral:rRNA from 1 species